rnacentral:rRNA from 1 species
AUACGGAGGAUCCGAGCGUUAUCCGGAUUUAUUGGGUUUAAAGGGUGCGCAGGCGGCCAUUUAAGUCAGCGGUUAAAUCGUGGGGCUCAACCCCAUUCUGCCGUUGAUACUGGGUGGCUUGAUUGCGGUCGAGGUUGGCGGAAUUCGUUGUGUAGCGGUGAAAGGCAUAGAUAUGACGAAGACCACCGAUUGCGUAGGCAGCUGACCAGACCGCAAAUGACGCUCAUGCACGAAAGUGCGGGGAUCGAACAGGAUUAGAUACCCUGGUAGUCCGCGCAGUAAACGAUGAAUACUUGUUUUCGGCGAUAUAAUGUCGGAGGCAAAGCGAAAGCGAUAAGUGUUCCACCUGGGGAGUACGCCGGCAACGGUGAAACUCAAAGGAAUUGACUGGG